GAUGAAGAACGUAGCGAAAUGCGAUAAAUAAUGUGAAUUGCAGAAUUCAGUGAAUCAUCGAAUCUUUGAACGCACCUUGCGCCCUUUGGCCAUUCCGAAGGGCAUGCCUGUUUGAGUAUCAUGAACACCUCAACUCUUUAUGGUUUUCCAUGAUGAGCUUGGACUUUGGGGGUUUUGCUGGCCUAUGGUCGGCUCCUCUAAAAUAAAUCAGCUUACCGGUGUUUGGUGGGUAUCAUGGGUGUGAUAACUAUCUACGCUUGUGGUUUUUCCACCAGGUAACCUUCGACAGCGGAGGUUCACUGGAGCUCAUAGAUGUCUCUCCUCAGCGAGGACAGCCCUUUGAAUGUUUGAUCUCAAAUCAGGUAGGACUACCCGCUGAACUUAAGCAUAUCAAUAAGCGGAGGA
rnacentral:misc_RNA from 1 species